rnacentral:rRNA from 1 species
UACGAAGGGGCAAGCGUUGUUCGGAAUUACUGGGCGUAAAGGGCGCGCAGGCGGCCAAUCAAGUCAGAUGUGAAAGCCCGGGCUCAACCUGGGAAUAGCAUUUGGGACUGGUUGGCUAGAGAUCGGGAGAGGAUCGCGGAAUUCCCGGUGUAGAGGUGAAAUUCGUAGAUAUCGGGAGGAACACCGGUGGCGAAGGCGGCGAUCUGGGUCGGAUACUGACGCUGGAGGUGCGAAAGCGUGGGAGCAAACAGG